AGGGUUCGAUUAUGGCUCAGGAUGAACGCUGGCGGCGUGCCUAACACAUGCAAGUCGAGCGAAGCACUUUGCUUAGAUUCUUUCGGGAUGAAGAGUGAUUUGACUGAGCGGCGGACGGGUGAGUAACGCGUGGGUAACCUGCCUCAUACAGGGGGAUAACAGUUAGAAAUGACUGCUAAUACCGCAUAAGACCACGGUGUCGCAUGACACAGUGGUAAAAACUCCGGUGGUAUGAGAUGGACCCGCGUCUGAUUAGCUAGUUGGUAAGGUAACGGCUUACCAAGGCGACGAUCAGUAGCCGACCUGAGAGGGUGACCGGCCACAUUGGGACUGAGACACGGCCCAA
rnacentral:rRNA from 1 species